UACGAAGGGGGCUAGCGUUGCUCGGAAUCACUGGGCGUAAAGCGCACGUAGGCGGCUUGUUAAGUCAGGGGUGAAAUCCUGGAGCUCAACUCCAGAACUGCCUUUGAUACUGGCGAGCUCGAGUCCGGGAGAGGAGACUGGAAUUCCUGGUGUAGCGGUGAAAUGCGCAGAUAUCAGGAGGAACACCGGUGGCGAAGGCGGGUCUCUGGGCCGAUACUGACGCUGAGGAGCGAAAGCGUGGGGAGCGAACAGG
rnacentral:rRNA from 1 species